rnacentral:rRNA from 1 species
GUCGAACGCUUCUUUUUCCACCGGAGCUUGCUCCACCGGAAAAAGAGGAGUGGCGAACGGGUGAGUAACACGUGGGUAACCUGCCCAUCAGAAGGGGAUAACACUUGGAAACAGGUGCUAAUACCGUAUAACAAUCAAAACCGCAUGGUUUUGAUUUGAAAGGCGCUUUCGGGUGUCGCUGAUGGAUGGACCCGCGGUGCAUUAGCUAGUUGGUGAGGUAACGGCUCACCAAGGCCACGAUGCAUAGCCGACCUGAGAGGGUGAUCGGCCACAUUGGGACUGAGACACGGCCCAAACUCCUACGGGAGGCAGCAGUAGGGAAUCUUCGGCAAUGGACGAAAGUCUGACCGAGCAACGCCGCGUGAGUGAAGAAGGUUUUCGGAUCGUAAAACUCUGUUGUUAGAGAAGAACAAGGAUGAGAGUAACUGUUCAUCCCUUGACGGUAUCUAACCAGAAAGCCACGGCUAACUACGUGCCAGCAGCCGCGGUAAUACGUAGGUGGCAAGCGUUGUCCGGAUUUAUUGGGCGUAAAGCGAGCGCAGGCGGUUUCUUAAGUCUGAUGUGAAAGCCCCCGGCUCAACCGGGGAGGGUCAUUGGAAACUGGGAGACUUGAGUGCAGAAGAGGAGAGUGGAAUUCCAUGUGUAGCGGUGAAAUGCGUAGAUAUAUGGAGGAACACCAGUGGCGAA